GGUGUUCAGGUACAAAAGUCCAAAAGUAUAGGUCCAAGGACAAAAGAAGUGCUUAUAUUCUGCUUUUGUGGGAAAUAUCCAGUGUCCACUAAAGUGGGCAUGUCCAUGCCCACUCCUGUUGGCUGUGAGUGGAGUUCUCACUGGGCUGCUCUGUGAUAAGUAGCAGACACCUGCCACCAAGUUGUUUGUCCCAUGACUUUCUAUCUGCUCCCUCAGUUGCAAACUUAAAAAGAGGAAAUAUUUAUAUUGGAUCAUGGUUCCAAGGUUGCUGUUAUUGUCUAUUAUUCUGUUUCCUGCCCCUGAAUCACAAGAAAAAUAAUUUAGAAAUGGCUAUUUCCCUUAGAUAAGAAACGACUUAUCAUUUGCCCAAUGUCUCCUUUUUCUCACUUACCUACUCCCUCUCUCUGACAACUACCACGAUACUUUUGUGCUUCUAUGAAUUGAACUGUUUCAGAUCUCACAUGCCCCUUCUGUAGCUAGGCCUACCUCUUCUACACAGCCUGCUCGAAUUUUAGACAAUUUGAGAUUCUGCAAUAUUUGCAUAUACACAGAAAAUAUCCAGGGUAAGGGGCCCACACUCAGACACAAAACUCACUUGUGUUCUGUAUAUAUUUUACACAAAUAACCUGGAAUGUCUACCAUAUUUU
rnacentral:lncRNA from 1 species